rnacentral:rRNA from 1 species
GACGAACGCUGGCGGCGUGCUUAACACGUGCAAGUCGAACGGUGAAGCGCCUUCCUUUUUGGUGGGUGUGGAUGAGUGGCGAACGGGUGAGUAACACGUGAGUAACCUGCCCCCUUCUUCUGGAUAACCGCAUGAAAGUGUGGCUAAUACGGGAUAUUCUGGGUCUGUCGCAUGAUGGGUCUGGGAAAGAUAUUGUUUCGGUGGGGGAUGGGCUCGCGGCCUAUCAGCUUGUUGGUGGGGUGAUGGCCUACCAAGGCGGUGACGGGUAGCCGGCCUGAGAGGGUGGACGGUCACACUGGGACUGAGACACGGCCAAGACUCCUACGGGAGGCAGCAGUGGGGAAUAUUGCACAAUGGGCGCAAGCCUGAUGCAGCGACGCCGCGGGAGGGAUGGAGGCCUGCGGGUUGUGAACCUCUUUCGCCAGUGAAGCAGGCCUGCCUCGUUUGUGGGUGGGUUGACGGUAGCUGGAUAAGAAGCGCCGGCUAACUACGUG